rnacentral:misc_RNA from 1 species
AUGAUGUAGAUCCAGCAAAGCCUCCGGCUCCAAAGGCACAAGUGGUGGGUUGGCCACCGGUUCGAUCAUACCGGAGAAACGUCAUGACAGUCCAAUCUGAGAAGGUAAAUAAGGACAAGUCAGAGAAGCCCAGCAACAAUGCACCACCAACCGCCACAUUUGUCAAAGUUAGCAUGGAUGGCGCACCUUAUCUUCGUAAGGUGGACCUGAAGAUGUAUCGGAGCUACCAAGAGCUCUCAAUUGCCUUAGAAAAAAUGUUCAGCUCCCUCAACAUGGGGAAUUGUGGGUCUCAAGGAAUGAAUGGGAGGGAUUUCAUGAACGAGAGCAAGCUCAUGGAUCUCUUGAAUGGUUCUGAGUUCGUGCCAACGUACGAGGACAAGGAUGGAGAUUGGAUGCUGGUCGGAGAUGUGCCAUGGGAGAUGUUCGUUGCCUCAUGCAAGCGCUUGCGGAUCAUGAAAGGGUCAGAAGCCAUUGGACUAGCACCAAGAGCUAUGGAAAAAUGCAAGAGCAGAAGCUGAAGGAAGCACCUUGCAGUGUGAGGAAGAAAUGCCAAGCAUGAUUGUAUUUGUGUU